rnacentral:rRNA from 1 species
GCGCGAAAGUUAGGGGAGCGAACGGGAUUAGAUACCCCGGUAGUCCUAGCCGUAAACGAUGGUACUAGGUGUAGGGGGUAUCGACCCCCCNUGUGCCGGAGUUCACGCAAUAAGUACCCCGCCUGGGGAGUACGGCCGCAAGGUUGAAACUCAAAGGAAUUGACGGGGGCCCGCACAAGCAGUGGAGCAUGUGGUUUAAUUCGAUGCAACGCGCAGAACCUUACCAGGGCUUGACAUCCCGCGAAGACCCGGGAAACCGGGGGGGCCCCGUGAGGGGACGCGGAGACAGGUGAUGCAUGGUUGUCGUCAGCUCGUGUCGUGAGAUGUUGGGUUCAGUCCCGCAACGAGCGCAACCCUCGUCCGCUGUUGCCAGCGUAAAGACGGGCACUCAGCGGAGACUGCCGGAGACGAUCCGGAGGAAGGUGGGGAUGACGUCAAAUCAUCAUGCCCCUUAUGCCCUGGGCCACACACGUGCUACAAUGGCCGGUACAGCGAGAAGCCAUGCCGCGAGGCAGAGCGGAUCUCUCAAAGCCGGUCGUAGUUCGGAUCGCAGGCUGCAACUCGCCUGCGUGAAGCCGGAAUUGCUAGUAAUCGCGGAUCAGCACGCCGCGGUGAAUACGUUCCCGGGCCUUGUACACACCGCCCGUCACACCACGAAAGUGGGCAACACCCCAAGCCGGGGGAGCCAACCCGCAAGGGAGGCAGCCGUNGAAGGUGGGGCCCAUGAUUGGGGUGAAGUCGUAACAAGGUACC